ACUCACCAUCCAAACAGUGUGUGUAGCUUAUAGACUUUUUGUUGAAGCAAGUCAAGGAACAGUUGUCGGAAUAAUUUCAACAUUGGUGGCAGUCAUGGUGGCAAUUUUGUUAACUCUAGCUGUUAAAUCAAGAAGAUGCAUGUCUUCCUACACAGAGGGGCAUCCAUCUCCUGAUCAGAGAUCUAGACAUGACGGUAAUGCAGAAGAAAACGUGGCUCUUUCAGAAUAUUCAUUCAGUAAAGGAAGUGAAGACAGGAAUUGACAACACAGCACAAACAUCCUUAAUAUCCAGUGAUCUCACCUCCCCUUUCUUCACUGCGAUUCCAGCAAUGGCUUGUCAUGACCCAACAAUUCUGUCAUUGCAAAGACUUGUGAUAGUGGAAAGAGAAUAAUUACCUUCUUUCUCACGCCCUAAGAAUCAUUCAUUGACCCCCCUACAUGCAUCAAGAUUAUAAAUGCCUGGAUGCCAAGGGUUCCAGUUCAGCUUGGAAAAGAACUAUCCCAUUCAUUUACAUUCCUGCUGCAAUCAGCCCAGGAGGCUACAGUGAGGUUUCCUCCAAGAACUCAGAAGAAAUGAAUCACUAAGAGAUGAUUCAAAAUCUGAUUAACUAAUGAUGGGUGAGUGGUAGAAGCAGAAGUCACUAUAGUGAAAAGGUGAAAAACCAGAGCCUAGAAAACAGGCAAUGGAUUUGCUAAAGUAUUGUACUCUAGUUUUAUAUGAAUGGUUAAUAUCAGUUUAAUCAACUAGAUUUAGUAUGGUGAGUCUUAGGAGCCCCAAAGAGUAAGAAUGUCAGUAUCUCUAAGACUACCCAGGGUGCAAAGGGCCCUAUCAACUCAAGAAUUGACAUCUCUGGGGUUGGGUUGUACCCUUCAACACCAGGGUUUGCAUAGCCUAGCGACCCUAGUUAUGAAGAUAAUUUGAUUUACUCUUUUGGCUCAGUUGUCAUAUUGUUAAUCAGAUUUCUAAUAAAUUUAGAUUUUCAUAAAUUUUAUGCAAGGAGAGAAUGGAUAAUUCAGCUGACUAGAUGAUCUGUUCUCAAUUUCAUCAUCAAUAUAAAAGAAAGAAAGCCAAACCAAGACUUUUGUUAACUUAUUCAAGUUUUUAACCGUAUAGCUUACAGGAGAAAACCAAUCCUCAAUUGUGUAUUAAUACUAUCUGAUCGAGAGAGAGGCAUGGACAUAUAUACACUACCAAAUAUAAAAUAGAUAGCUAGUGGGAAGCAGCCGCACAGCACAGGGGCUCGGGGCUUUGUGACU